rnacentral:rRNA from 1 species
UAGGGAAUCUUCCACAAUGGACGAAAGUCUGAUGGAGCAACGCCGCGUGAGUGAAGAAGGGUUUCGGCUCGUAAAACUCUGUUGUUAAAGAAGAACAUAUCUGAGAGUAACUGUUCAGGUAUUGACGGUAUUUAACCAGAAANCCACGGCUAACUACGUGCCAC